AUUGAACGCUGGCGGCAGGCCUAACACCUGCAAGUCGAACGAGUGGCGGACGGGUGAGUCAUGUCUGGGAAACUGCCCGAUGGAGGGGGAUAACUACUGGAAACGGUAGCUAAUACCGCAUACCAUCGGAUGUGCCCAGAUGGGAUUAGCUAGUAGGUGGGGUAACGGCUCACCUAGGCGACGAGCCCUAGCUGGUCUGAGAGGAUGACGGGCCACACUGGAACGGUGACACGGUCCAUACUCCUACGGGAGGCAGCAGUGGGGAAUAUUGCACAAUGGGCGCAAGCCUGAUGCGGCCAUGCGGCGGGUAUGAAGAAGGCCUUCGGGUGGUAAAGUACGUUCAGCGAGGAGGCGUUACUCACAGAGGAAGCACCGGCUAACUCCGUGCCAGCAGCCGCGGUAAUUC
rnacentral:rRNA from 1 species